rnacentral:rRNA from 1 species
UACGAAGGGGGCUAGCGUUGUUCGGAAUUACUGGGCGUAAAGCGUGCGCAGGCGGCUGCUCAAGUCAGGGGUGAAAGCCCAGAGCUCAACUCUGGAAUUGCAUUUGAGACUGCGUAGCUAGGGUGCGGAAGAGGGAAGCGGAAUUUCCGGUGUAGCGGUGAAAUGCGUAGAUAUCGGAAGGAACACCAGUGGCGAAAGCGGCUUCCUGGUCCAGCACCGACAUUCAGGCACGAAAGCGUGGGGAGCAAACAGG